CUGACUGCUAUCGGAUUGGUACUAAGCCAUGCGAGUCAUUGUAGCUAUACAAGGCGGACGGCUCAGUAACACGUAGUCAACAUAACUCGUGGACGUGGAUAACUUCGGGAAACUGAGAAUAAUCCACGAUAGAUCAUAGUGCCUGGAAUGGCUUAUGGUCCAAACAGUUUACUGCCAUGGGAUGGGACUGCGGCCUAUCAGCUUGUUGGUGAGGUAAUGGCCCACCAAGGCGAUUACAGGUACGGGCUCUGAGAGGAGAAGCCCGGAGAUGGGUACUGAGACACGGACCCAGGCCCUAUGGGGCGCAGCAGGCGAGAAACCUUAGCAAUGUGCGAAAGCACGACUGGGUCAGUCCGAGUGAUUCCUGAUAAAGGAGUCUUUUGCCUGUCCUAAAAGCACAGGUGAAUAAGGGGUGGGCAAGUCUGGUGUCAGCCGCCGCGGUAAUACCAGCACCUCGAGUGGUCAGGACAAAAUAUUGGGCCUAAAGCAUCCGUAGCCGGCUCUGCAAGUCUUCGGUUAAAUCCACCUGCUCAACAGAUGGGCCGCUGGAGAUACUACAGAGCUAGGGAGUGGGAGAGGCAGACGGUAUUCAGUGGGUAGGGGUAAAAUCCUCUGAUCCAUUGAGGACCACCAGUGGCGAAGGCGGUCUGCCAGAACACGUUCGACGGUGAGGGAUGAAAGCUGGGGGAGCAAACCGGAUUAGAUACCCGGGUAGUCCCAGCUGUAAACGAUGCAAACUCGGUGAUGCAUUGGCUUAUGGCCAAUGCAGUGCCGCAGGGAAGCCGUUUUGUUUGCCGCCUGGGAAGUACGGACGCAGGUCUGAAACUU
rnacentral:rRNA from 1 species